rnacentral:rRNA from 1 species
GACGUAGGGCGCGAGCGUUGUCCGGAUUUAUUGGGCGUAAAGCGCGUGUAGGUGGCCAAGUAGGUCCGCUGUGAAAACUUGAGGCUCAACCUCAAGCUGUCGGUGGAAACCCCUUGGCUAGAGUCCGGAAGAGGAGAGUGGAAUUCCUGGUGUAGCGGUGAAAUGCGCAGAUAUCAGGAAGAACACCAAUGGCGAAGGCAGCUCUCUGGGACGGUACUGACACUGAGACGCGAAAGCGUGGGGAGCGAACAGG